CUGGAGAAGCAGCGGAGGAGCAAUGCAGGACAGAUAGACCUGGUUGCUCCUUAUUUUAAAAUACUCCUCUUUCACUUAAAACCAACUUCCUCCAAGUACUUGCCUGGCACACAACAGGCACUCACUACAUGUGCUUGAAGCCUGGAGACGGACCACGUGCCAGGGAGAUGAAGACAAAAUGACCCACGUCCUGCCCGUAAGAAACUUCCAUGGGCCGGAGGAGACACCAAAGACACAGAAGAAAGGAAGGAUGGCCACGGAAGCUGCAAAGUCAUAUUAGGGGCUGAAGAGUGCUAACAAUGAGGAGGUUCCCACAAGAUGAGGGCCAUCUUCUUGUGUAAGGCUACUGAGCAUCACUGUUCCCAAUUCUCCCUCCCAUCCCUGAAGUUUAAAUGAACAACACCUACACUUGGGCAUAAAAAUUCCCAAACCUCUAGUCAACAGGAAAAGAAAAAUGAUAGGUUUGACCUCCUUCAACAUUAUGGGCCUUGGAAAGUUCCCACCCAGACUUCUGUUAGAGUUUCUAGUGAAGUGAUACAAACUGAUAAUAACACUUCAUUAUUCCAGUCACUCGGGGAAAACGGGGACCCUCCAUCAGCUACUGUCCAAACCUUUGUUUGGGGAUCCCACCUGCCCUUCCCCCACCACCCCCAACCAGGCACCCAAGCAGGGCAUGAGGUCCAGUUGCCUGGAUCAUCUGCAAAUAGACAUUGCCAGUCACACUUCCUUCGGGACCCAGGAAGAACACAGAUCCCACAAAACCUAGCAGCGAAAACAGAACAAGAGAUCUACGGGGACUAAACAAGGAAGAUGACAGGAGGGACAUUCAUCUGAAAAACUCUGUUAAAAAUGCACUGGUCUCAUUAAUAAUUUUAAACUUCUUCUUUGAAUUGUGGAAUAUUUGAGGAUUUCAUCCAUAUUUGCAUUCUACACUCACUAUUCUUAGCAUUUUUGUCUGGGUGAUGAAGGUAUUUAAACCUUUUACAAAUAAAAACUAAGGCUGACCAAAAUACACUAUGAAGCACGAUGUAUUUUUCAUUAAAGAACUCAUUUUCCCGGGGGCUCAGAAGACCUAGGAAUUCCUAAUAACCAACAUCUCCCUUCCUAAAUCUACAUAGAAAAUGGCGGGAAGGAGAGCCCAGAUUCGUGUAUUAUAACAGUAAGGGUAAAAGGACACUUGACAAACAGACUUUGAAAGUUGGUAAAAGCAGCUCAUUUCCCCAAAGGCCAGUGAGGUAAUCGUGUAACAGGGCACAAUGGAGAGGGAAGCCAUAAGCUCUCCUUAGAAAGGUUCAAUCUCCUCCCCGGGACCCCCUCCCCCAGGAGCCAAAUUGAAAAUCUACCCUUCAGUCUUAAAACAAAGUUCCCAAUGGCACCCCAAAAUCUCGUGGGGAAAACUCUUGUCACCUCUGGGCUCUGACUGCUCCCAUGGUGACAUAACAAAUGCCUUUAGAGCGGAAAGUGAAGCUGGCCUGUGUAUUCAGGUGCUUUUCCUGCACAUCUGAUUAUUUUUACUACUGCCACUAAGAUUUCACUGAUUUAAGACCCAGGGGCCUCCCACCACAUGGCAGCCCCCUGUGAAGAAUAACACCAUUAACAUCUAAAGAGAAGCAGACACACUCAAGAGAACCCUCGUCAGGGCACACCAAGACCAGAAAUAUGUUUUCCACUCGGACGCCAAUAUAUCUGUCCAAGGACAGGCACCCAAGCAAAUGGCAUCGUCUGAAUAAAAACAGCAAAAAGUGAGACUUACCUGUUCCAAGGUCCAGAGAAGAAAUGAGUGGAAACAUGGAAAAAAAGAGAAAAAAGGAACCAUUAGACUAAAAGUACAUUGGCGUAAUAGAACUAGCAAACAUUUUGGAUUCGGGGAGUAGUUCUCUCUUAACAACCAGAGCAAGAAGGGUGUGAGUUCCCAUUCUCUAACACCACCGAGCCCAUCCACCUUAUUAGCCAAUAAAGCCAAUGCGGGAUCAAUGGUAAUCAAGCACGCCAUUUUUUAGAAAGGAUGAAGUGUGCACAUAUGGUGAUUGUCUCCGAGUUCUAUUGGGGGUAAAUGUCAUCAUGCAAAGUCCAUUCUGUCAGAAGGCUUCAGGGGAACCGAGUCCUAGAUAGCUCACCCCACGAGGACAAAGAACUCCCUUUAAUAGUGAUUCUUUUCAACAGACUCUUGGCUCUCUUCAAACCAGCUACUUAUGGCUACUAAGUAAAUAAAAUGAUUUCUCCAAGCACUGUGACUUCCCAGGUCUCAUUCUGUCUCCUCAGAGCUCACGAAAACUGAACUUUCAUGCUACUGAAGUACUAAAGGCAACUGGGGGAAAAGGAAAGCCAGUGCCCAGCGUGCCCCCCGAAAGCGUGAAGGAAGCACCUGGAAUAAGCCAGGCUUGGCAGUUCUUCCACUGAAUCCCCUUUAGUGGGUAAUAAACAGCUCUGUUUGUAAU